rnacentral:rRNA from 1 species
UACAGAGGUGGCAAGCGUUGUUCGGAAUUACUGGGCGUAAAGGGCGCGUAGGCGGCCUUCUAAGUCAGACGUGAAAUCCCCCGGCUUAACCUGGGAACUGCGUCUGAUACUGGGAGGCUUGAGUAUGGGAGAGGGAUGUAGAAUUCCAGGUGUAGCGAUGAAAUGCGUAGAUAUCUGGAGGAAUACCGGUGGCGAAGGCGGCAUCCUGGACCAUUACUGACGCUGAGGCGCGAAAGCGUGGGUAGCAAACAGG